rnacentral:rRNA from 1 species
AGAACGAACGCUGGCGGCAUGCCUAAUACAUGCAAGUCGAACGAACACUUCGGUGUUAGUGGCGCACGGGUGCGUAACGCGUGGGAAUCUGCCCUUGGGUUCGGAAUAACAGUUGGAAACGACUGCUAAUACCGGAUGAUAUCGAAAGAUCAAAGAUUUAUCGCCCAGGGAUGAGCCCGCGUAGGAUUAGCUAGUUGGUGAGGUAAAGGCUCACCAAGGCGACGAUCCUUAGCUGGUCUGAGAGGAUGAUCAGCCACACUGGACUGAGACACGGCCCAGACUCCUACGGAGGCAGCGAGUAGGGAAUAGUUGGACGAAUGGGCGCAAGGCCCUGAUCCAGCAAUGCCGGCGUUGAGUGAUGAAGGCCUUAGGGUGUAAGCUCUUUACCCGAGAUGAUAAUGACGAGUAUACGGAGAAAGUAACGACCCCGGUACCUAAC